rnacentral:rRNA from 1 species
AGCGCAGGCGGGAAGACAAGUUGGAAGUGAAAUCCAUGGGCUCAACCCAUGAACUGCUUUCAAAACUGUUUUCUUGAGUAGUGCAGAGGUAGGCGGAAUUCCCGGUGUAGCGGUGGAAUGCGUAGAUAUCGGGAGGAACACCAGUGGCGAAGGCGGCCUACUGGGCACCAACUGACGCUGAGGCUCGAAAGUGUGGGUAGCAAACA